CCUACGGGAGGCAGCAGUGGGGAAUAUUGGACAAUGGGGGCAACCCUGAUCCAGCCAUGCCGCGUGUGUGAAGAAGGCCCUCGGGUUGUAAAGCACUUUCAGUGAGGAAGAACGCCUGGUGGUUAAUACCCAUCAGGAAAGACAUCACUCACAGAAGAAGCACCGGCUAACUCCGUGCCAGCAGCCGCGGUAAUACGGAGGGUGCGAGCGUUAAUCGGAAUUACUGGGCGUAAAGCGCGCGUAGGUGGCUUGAUAAGCCGGUUGUGAAAGCCCCGGGCUCAACCUGGGAACGGCAUCCGGAACUGUCAAGCUAGAGUGCAGGAGAGGAAGGUAGAAUUCCCGGUGUAGCGGUGAAAUGCGUAGAGAUCGGGAGGAAUACCAGUGGCGAAGGCGGCCUUCUGGACUGACACUGCCACUGAGGUGCGAAAGCGUGGGUAGCAAACAGGAUUAGAUACCCGAGUAGUC
rnacentral:rRNA from 1 species